rnacentral:rRNA from 1 species
GACGAACGCCGGCGGCGUGCUUAACACAUGCAAGUCGAACGGUAAGGCCCUUCGGGGUACACGAGUGGCGAACGGGUGAGUAACACGUGGGUGAUCUGCCCUGCACUUCGGGAUAAGCCUGGGCAACUGGGUCUAAUACCGGAUAGGACCAUUGCCUGCAUGGGUGGUGGUGGAAAGCUUUUGCGGUGUGGGAUGGGCCCGCGGCCUAUCAGCUUGUUGGUGGGGUGAUGGCCUACCAAGGCGACGACGGGUAGCCGGCCUGAGAGGGUGACCGGCCACACUGGGACUGAGAUACGGCCCAGACUCCUACGGGAGGCAGCAGUGGGGAAUAUUGCACAAUGGGCGCAAGCCUGAUGCAGCGACGCCGCGUGAGGGAUGACGGCCUUCGGGUUGUAAACCUCUUUCAGCAUCGACGAAGCGCAAGUGACGGUAGGUGCAGAAGAAGGACCGGCCAACUACGUGCCAGCAGCCGCCGUAA